GCUGAGGUAGCUCAGCUGGUAGAGCAUCUCCAUGGUAAGGAGAAGGUCGUGGGUUCGAUUCCCAUCCUCAGCU
rnacentral:tRNA from 1 species